CCAAAAGUGAUCUUGAGCGUGAGAUAGCUGCUGUCAAGAAAGAAAGGGAUGACCUCACUGCCAGCCUAUCAAGCCAGCAAAGCACUAAAAGGCUGAAGACGGGGCCGAAUGCAGUUUGUGUUUCCAAGAGCUCAAGCAUUCACUGCAAACGCACAGUGACAAGAUUGCUGAAAUCCAGCAGAAAAUCGUGGAUGGGAACCUGAUUACCGUGCAUUAAGUGACGUGAUUCACCCUUGCCAGUCGACGAUGUACAGCGCAGGUCGUCGCUCAUCCACCAUACAACUAACUGGCCAAUGGAUGACCGCAGACACCUGGCUUGAUGGGCUCGUCUGCCAGAGCACCAUCACCGUGAACACGGGAACAAUUUCUGACAUCAAAUAAUGACUACUAUUAGA
rnacentral:lncRNA from 1 species